UAAAGCAGGUGGCAAGAGCAAGAAUACAUAUUUAUCUCUAUCCCGUUUGUGAAUUUUUUAAGUGAUAGCGCUAUGGCUGUGCAUAUGCUAUUUCUGGAAGCGCACUCAAAGCCUUGUAACACCACUUCCCUCUGGAGAGCAGGGAUGGCAGGAAGCUGUAGGACUACGUCUCUUUCCACACCUUUUUAUAAUUCAUGAGCAUGAGCAUGUAUUGGUCUCUGUACACCUGCCCCUGGGCUUGAGGAGGCCCUGCUGGCUGCAAUGUCUCACUUUCACCUAACUGCACAGAGUCUCAGCCACUUCCCUCCAGCCCUCGAGGACUGUCACCCAUCCUAGAAUGGAGGCCUUGCAUUAGGCCCGGGUUUGGCCAGAAGAAUAGAGCAGUUGGAAAUGUUAAGUUGACAUAAAUAGGAAGCUCUAUAACCUCGUGCAAGUGUUGUCUUGGAAACCAGAGCCUGGGCGGUCUCCAUGGAAACCGUGCUCAGCCUUCUGCCUGAAGGAGUUACCACCCACUGGUGCUGGAGUGUUAUUUAUCAGGGACCUCAGAGCUCCAAUAACUGCUUAGGGAAUGAUGAUGGACUGGUCCCUGCCCACCCUGGCCAUGUCGGGUGUGGGGCCCUGGGCACCUCCAGCUCUCUGCCUGGGAAAGAAAAAGAGCCCAUUUCCAUGGGAUGUGCCCUCAUGGGGAGGCACAGCAGACCACCCAAGGCAGCACUUGCAGUGUCCCCGAAGUAAGGAGGGGGUCCUGUGUCCCGAGGUCGACACGUGUUUUGCAUGUGACCUGGCAGCACAGGGUUCAGAGGAGGGAGAGAUCAGAGUGACUAGUGCAGGCUUCCUGGGGAACCAUUUGAGCUUUGAAGGUGGGGAAGAGGAAUGUCAGAGAGUGGGCAAAAUACAACAGGAAAGGGAAAUUCACCCUCUGAGGGCCAGGGGCACGGGGGCAGCCUGCUCUCCUCCUGGGGCCCUGUUCCCUGUGGGGACUGGAAGAGAGGCUUUGAGUCUAGGGCCUGGGGCAGCCAGGACUGACGGGGGUGCAGUCCUAGAAGGGUCGGCAGUCACGGUGGCCCACCAUGGCAUCUCCGUAUCCUUGCUGCAUGCUGCACCCACUCCAGCUGCCAGAGCACGGAGGCAGAGACGUGGGAGCCGAUGAAGGUCGCACGCCAGCCUCCCACCUGUGAGACAAAGGGCCCUGUCACUGGAAGCCACGUCCAGCCUGGCCCCGCAGGAGCCAGGGCUCUGCGCCUAACGGAGGACUGAUAGGAAAGAGAAGGCUGGCAGCAGUGAGGGGGGCCAUCAUCUGAAUCACGUUCCUGUAUUCGGGCUUUGCCCCUCCAAAACAGUUUUGAUGGGAGACACCAGCCACCUACUA
rnacentral:lncRNA from 1 species